rnacentral:rRNA from 1 species
UGAACAAGGUUUCCCUAGGUGAACCUGCGGAAGGAUCAUUACAGUAUUCUUUUUGCCAGCGCUUAAAUGCGCGGCGAAAAAACCUUACACACAGUGUUUUUUGUUAUUACAAGAACUCUUGCUUUGGUCUGGACUAGAAAUAGUUUGGGCCAGAGGUUUACUAAACUAAACUUCAAAAUUUAUAUUGAAAUGUUAUUUAUUUUAAAUGUCAAAUUGUUGAUUAAAAUCAAAAAAACUUCAAAACUUUCAACAACGGAUCUCUUGGUUCUCGCAUCGAUGAAGAACGCAGCGAAAAGCGAUAAGUAAAAUGAAAUGCAGAUUUUCGUGAAACAUCGAAACUUUGAACGCACAUUGCGCCCUUUGGUAUUCCAAAGGGCAUGCCUGUUUGAGCGUCAUUUCUCUCUCAAACCUUCGGGUUUGGUAUUGAGUGAUACUCUUAGUCGAACUAGGCGUUUGCUUGAAAAGUAUUGGCAUGAGUGGUACUGGAUAGUGCUAUAUGACUUUCAAAGUAUUAGGUUUAUCCAACUCGUUGAAAAGUUUAAAGGUAUAUUUCUCGGUAUUCUAGGCUCGGCCUUACAAAAUAACAAACAAGUUUGACCUCAAAACAGGUAGGACUACCCCCUGAACUUAAGCAUAUCAAAA